GCAUUAGUGGUUUAGUGGCAAAAUCCAUCGUUGUCAUCGAUGGGCCUUGUGUUCGAUUCACGGCUGAUGCA